GCUUCUUUGAUAAUUGAGGGAACCUCAUGUUGAGAUCUCACACUUGUCAUCAUUUGAUAAAAAGCUAGGUUUAACUGGCCACUGACACAGAUGAUUUGGGGGGAAAUUAUAUAUUUUUGGGAGGGGGCGCUGCUGAAAUCCACAGGCUUCAUACAAUUCCAAACAAAGCCCCACAUAUCACUUCAAUUACCACCAAACAUUUCCAGUUCCCCUCCCCCAACAUAAACUAACACAAGCAAACACUUCGAAGUAGGGGUUCUAACUUAACUUUCUCCCUUGUCCGGAAGACAGCCAACAAAGGGUGGUAAGGCACCAUUUCUCCCAUCACCAUUUAGCUAAGAAAGCAAGGUCCAGGGCUGGGAGCACUCUUCUCUGCCCCACCCCCAGCCAAGUAGGUAAGGGAGAGAGGGGAGGAGGAGGUGUGGUUUGGUUAAACUAAUAAAAUGUUACAACCCUGUUAAAUACAAUUAAAAGGAUAGAUCUCUCAAAGAUAAUUAAAUGCACUUUAUUAUUAUGAUUAUUAGCUUUUAAUUUACACUGUUAAGAAAUGGAAGAUGGCGAAAACUGAGUUAUGUGGCAUACUUGUAUUCAAACUAAUCCUUUGGAAUUAAAAUUCUAAAAUAUUCCAAAUAGUUGAGGGAAAUAAUAUGUGUUGGAAACUGGAGUUCUCACACCAGCAAAGAUACUUUUAGACAUCACUUCUCAGGAAGUUAACUUAAGAGAAGUCUUGACAGGCCAGGCACUGUGGCUCACUCCUGUAAUCCCAGCACUUUAGGAGGCCGAGGCAGGCAGAUAACGAGGUCAGGAGUUCGAGACCAGCCUGGCCAAUAUGGUGAAACCCUGUGUCUACUAAAAAUACAAAAAUUAGCAAGGAGUGGUGGCGUGCGCCUGUAGUCCCAGCUACUUGGGAGGCUGAGGCAGGAGAAACGCUGCAGUGGAGGUUGCAGUGAGCCAAGAUCGCACCACUGCACUCCAGCCUGGGCGACAGAGCAAGACUCCGUCUCAAAAAAAGAAAAGUCUUGACUUUAUUUGUAGGGGCUCAGGGGAAGAUAAGAAACAUCUGCUUUAAACAUCCUAUCAAUCUUGUGAUAUAGAAUGUAAUGUAAACACUCAACCCACCCCCACAGCCACAAAGGGCCUAUCCAGAGACUUCUUCUAAAGCAAAGAUACCACCUUUUUUUUUUUUUUCAUUUUUUUCUGGACAAAUUUUAAAUAAACCAGUCUUUUUCUCAAAGGAAAACUAAAAAGCCCACCAGCCCAUCAGUCCCCUCCCUCCAACCCACCCGUCUUUAUCACUUUUUGAAAAAAAUAAGCCCCAAACAACAACAAAAACCCACACAAACCAACCCAGAAACUGCUAACCUGAACGCCAGAGAUUUUUGGCUGCGGGAGUGAAUAGACUGCAGGGAAAGAAGGGAAGAGAUGCUAGGAGGUCUCAAACUCCCCAGAUUUGCAAACAAGUGCUCAAAGGCGAAUGCUUCCCCUAGACAUGAAGGGAGGCAGGAUCAGUACUCCUGGUGGGGUGUAUGUUGGUGGGGGCUGUUUCAAAACACACUUCAAAAAGCAUUUUUGGGCCACUGGAAGCACUUGGUGCAGCGAAUUGAAAAGAAGAGAAGCCAGACAGGAGAAAGAUCUUCCAGCCUGCAGGGGAAUGGGCCAGGGGGUGGAAGUACUGAGAGUUGGCCUCGAUGGCCUCGUGGCCCCACUUCAUGCCGGC
rnacentral:lncRNA from 1 species